rnacentral:rRNA from 1 species
UACAGAGGGUGCGAGCGUUAAUCGGAAUUAUUGGGCGUAAAGAGCUCGUAGGCGGCUCGUUGCGUCGGCUGUGAAAACCCGCAGCUCAACUGUGGGCUUGCAGCUGAUACGGGCGGGCUGGAGUUCGGUAGGGGAGACUGGAAUUCCUGGUGUAGCGGUGAAAUGCGCAGAUAUCAGGAGGAACACCGGUGGCGAAGGCGGGUCUCUGGGCCGAUACUGACGCUGAGGAGCGAAAGCGUGGGGAGCGAACAGG